rnacentral:rRNA from 1 species
UACAGAGGGGGCAAGCGUUGUUCGGAAUUACUGGGCGUAAAGGGCGCGUAGGCGGCUGCGCAAGUCGGGUGUGAAACCCCGGGGCUCAACCCCGGAACUGCAUCCGAUACUGCGUGGCUAGAGGUAGGUAGGGGAGAUCGGAAUUCCUAGUGUAGCGGUGAAAUGCGCAGAUAUCAGGAGGAACACCGGUGGCGAAGGCGGAUCUCUGGGCCUUACCUGACGCUCAGGCACGAAAGCUAGGGGAGCGAACAGG